GGCACGUACUUCCUCCGUUCCACAAUAUAAGUCAUUCUAGCAUUUACUAUAUUCAUAUUGAUGUUAAUGAAUCUAGAUCUAGAUUCAUUAACAUCAAUAUGAAUGUGGGAAAUGGUAAAAUGACUUACAUUAUGAAACGG
rnacentral:misc_RNA from 1 species